GGAUCUGAUGGAGAUUUGUCGGUUGGAUUUUCUGACUGACUAUCCCGAGAAGAAUAAGCCCUAGCCAUAAAGAAAGAAAACCAGAGAACUCUAAAACGAAAAUCCAAAGGAGAGAGAGACCCAAGGAGGAUGAGAAAACUUGACCUGAAAGCCAGAAAAGGAGGCAGAGAAGAGACCCUGGAGCUCUCUGGUAUUGAGGCGAUAUUCCGACAGAGCUUCCGCAGUAGAGGAUGG
rnacentral:lncRNA from 1 species